rnacentral:rRNA from 1 species
UGGCGGACGGGUGAGUAACGCGUGGAUAACCUGCCUCACACUGGGGGAUAACAGUUGGAAACGGCUGCUAAUACCGCAUAAGCGCACAGUACCGCAUGGUACGGUGUGAAAAACUCCGGUGGUAUGAGAUGGACCCGCGUCUGAUUAGGUAGUUGGUGGGGUAACGGCCUACCAAGCCGACGAUCAGUAGCCGACCUGAGAGGGUGACCGGCCACAUUGGGACUGAGACACGGCCCAA